CACACUAUCAUUAACUGAAUCCAUAGGUUAAUGAGGCGAACCGGGGGAACUGAAACAUCUAAGUACCCCGAGGAAAAGAAAUCAACCGAGAUUCCCCCAGUAGCGGCGAGCGAACGGGGAGGAGCCCAGAGCCUGAAUCAGUGUGUGUGUUAGUGGAAGCGUCUGGAAAGGCGCGCGAUACAGGGUGACAGCCCCGUACACAAAAAUGCACAUGCUGUGAGCUCGAUGAGUAGGGCGGGACACGUGGUAUCCUGUCUGAAUAUGGGGGGACCAUCCUCCAAGGCUAAAUACUCCUGACUGACCGAUAGUGAACCAGUACCGUGAGGGAAAGGCGAAAAGAA
rnacentral:rRNA from 1 species